GGAGGAUCCGAGCGUUAUCCGGAUUUAUUGGGUUUAAAGGGAGCGUAGAUGGAUGUUUAAGUCAGUUGUGAAAGUUUGCGGCUCAACCGUAAAAUUGCAGUUGAUACUGGAUAUCUUGAGUGCAGUUGAGGCAGGCGGAAUUCGUGGUGUAGCGGUGAAAUGCUUAGAUAUCACGAAGAACUCCGAUUGCGAAGGCAGCCUGCUAAGCUGCAACUGACAUUGAGGCUCGAAAGUGUGGGUAUCAAACAGGAUUAGAUACCCUGGUAGUCCACACGGUAAACGAUGAAUACUCGCUGUUUGCGAUAUACAGCAAGCGGCCAAGCGAAAGCGUUAAGUAUUCCACCUGGGGAGUACGCCGGCAACGGUGAAACUCAAAGG
rnacentral:rRNA from 1 species